rnacentral:rRNA from 1 species
GCAUAUCAAUAAGCGGAGGAAAAGACCCGUGCCGGUGUUGGGAGUAGCUCGGCGAGUGAAGCGGGAAGAGCUCAAAUUUGAAAUCUGGUAGCCUUCGGUUGCCCGAGUUGUAAUCUAGAGAAGUGUUUUCCGCGUUGGCCCAUGUACAAGUCCCUUGGAACAGGGCGUCAUAGAGGGUGAGAAUCCCGUCCUUGACAUGGACCCCCAAUGCUUUGUGAUACACUUUCAACGAGUCGAGUUGUUUGGGAAUGCAGCUCAAAAUGGGUGGUGAAUUCCAUCUAAAGCUAAAUAUUGGCGAGAGACCGAUAGCGAACAAGUACCGUGAGGGAAAGAUGAAAAGCACUUUGGAAAGAGAGUUAAACAGUACGUGAAAUUGUUGAAAGGGAAACGAUUGAAGUCAGUCAUGCUCUUUGGUUUAAGCCGUUCUGCGGUGUAUAUCAUUGAGUGGGGUCAACAUCAGUUUUGACCGCUGGAAAAGGGCAGGAGGAAGGUAGCACCCCCGGGUGAACUUAUAGCCUCUUGUCGUAUACAGUGGUUGGGACUGAGGAACGCAGCAUGCCUUUUGGCCGGGAUUCGUCCACGUACAUGCUUAGGAUGUUGACAUAAUGGCUUUAAACGACCCGUCUUGAAACACGGACC